AGGGACCAAGCCUGGAUGAGAAAAUGCUGAACUUGAGCACAGGCCUUGGGGAUUGUGAAGAAAUGACUAAGGGUACUGAUGUCCUGGGUUAAGCUUUCCACUGAGGUCCUUCCUGACUGGAUCUGGAGUCCCAUGGCAUGGGGGAUGCCUGUUCUGUGAUGGCCCAGGGAUUAUGUACAGUGGCUCUGGCGGGCCAACACCUCAACUCUUCACUCCUCCUUGCUCUCCAGGAGCUCCCAGCUCUCCCACUUGUACCACAGAGAAUGAUUAAUAAGCAUUGAAUAAAAAUUGACUAAGGGAUUAUCUCUGAGUAACUGCACUGAUGUUAUGUAAAUGUCGGAAAUCGGCAUGCAUUUCUGAUCAAAGCUGUUUUGUCUGAUCAGCGCCCUGGAAGCAUUUGGGACUUCUAUGGAAGAUUUGAAACUGGUCACUGUUGGUAUGGAUUGAUAAGGAUUUCAGUCUGCUCAUCUGUGUGCUAGAGAGAUUGUAUAUAUGUAUAUGUGUGUGUUUAUAUAAAGGGGAUAAGUCUUUGGAGUUGAAGGACAUUCAUGUAUUUAUUUGGUAGAAUACAGAGUACAGCAUAUUUAAACCCUGGUAUUUAAAUAAGUAAGAACAUUUCCAUUUAUCAAGGAGUGUCUUGAACUUAUUUGGCAAAAUUUCAAAGGAUAUUUCAGUUGUCUUUAAUUAAAAUGAUACUGUCUUAGUCACUUUCCCAUUGCUGAGACAAAAUAUCUGACACUUGCAAUUUAAAGGAGAGGUUUGUUUUGGCUCAUGUUUUCAAUCCAUAGUUGGCCAAUGCAGAAAUGGCAUGGUAGAAACAGUGAAGGAAAGUUGCUCAAGUCAUGGUGGCCAGGAAGCAGAGAAAGGAGGAUCUAAGAAGGAAGAUAAACUUCCAGGUUACGCCCCCAGUGACUCAACUCCAACCAGGUCCCAGCUCCUAACAGUGCAGUCAGUUGCUGAACUCAUUAGUGGAUGAAUCCACUGAUGAAUGUAGCACCCUGGUGGUCCAAUCACCUUCCAAAAGCCUCUCCUCUGAGUGUGUAAGGGUUUUAGGGGGACAUUCUAGAUCUAAACCAUAACACUACAUAGUAUUUCAAAUAUUUUCAAUCAGGUAGUUGGGAUGUAGAAGCUUGAGUAUCAUUCUUAGAGGUUGUUGAUAGACAGUGAAGUCCUUAAUAACUCAGUUCUGGCUCUACAGAAAGCUUGGCACUAAAGUCCUUGCUUCACUACCAAGAACAAGGCUGUUGUCAUCCUCUUUUUAGAAACAGAUGGUUUUCCCCCUGGUGAGAGUAGAAUUUUCAAGAAAUUAAAAAUGACUCAUACAAGUUUGAGAUGAAACCAUAUUCAAGCUUUUAUUCAAUUUGUUAAUUACUGAAGGAACAAGGAAGAGACUGCAAAGGUGGUUGUGAUUCUGGGAAUGUUUUAAAGAUCUAUAUUUUUAUUGAUAUUUUUAACCAGUGUUAAAAAUACUGGGCUUGAUUGAAAAACUUGGUUAAUGCCUGACAGGGCCAUAAAUUAUAAUCUUCAGUGUUAUGUUUUAUAGGAGACAAGUUAUUUAUAUCACUACUGGGCAAAAAUCUAUAGGUUACCAUGUAAUUUCACUAAGUUUAGAAAUGUUAGUCAGCAGUGAACAAUGAAUUGAGCAACCUACAAUUUCCUAUCAUGCAUAAUGUUUGGAAAGACCUAAAAUCAUCAUAUGACAUUGAAAGGCUAUGUCACCUUUUUGUCUUAUUUAUACAUUUUAAAUAAUUUUUAACAUUCAGUCUCUUAAAGUUUUAAAACAAAUCUAUUUCAAGACAUUAAUUUUAAAUUCAGGUUAUAGUAAUCCCACUUCAUUUUCAGAUAGCUAAUAAAAAGGUGUCCAAUAAAACAUAUUUUAGCUUUUAACCAAUGGGAUCAAUGUAAUAUGAUCCUAUAGGCCAAUUAUGGCAAAAGUUAGAAAAUGAAAAGUGCUUGUUUUAUAUGAAGGCUUUUAAUAGAGUACAUAAACAUGAACUCCUUGAAGACAGGCUUCGCAGGUAAUUCUUAUUUAUUCAGUAUUGAAUCACAGCCCCUAACUCAGAAUAGGUGGUAUGGCGUUUAAGAAGUUGAGGAACUAUCUAAUGACACUGACUGAAUUAAUGAAUAACAAUGUCAAAUCUAUGAACAUUCCAGCUGUCUAAUAGAAAAUCCUUUGCCUCAUUUGUUUGACCAGGUGAACACCAAUUGUGUGCUGGCUCUGGACACUGAUUACACCUUCUGCCUGACUCACAGGACUUAGGCUCAAUCUCUGCAGAAGGCUUUUACUCAUCUCAUUCAAGCUAUGGGGACAUGUCUUCACCCAGGAAGGUUAGAAGAGACUCUGGCGAAGAGCUAGAAGUCGCAUAGUGCCAGAUCUGGAUGUGAAGGAGGAAUUCCAGGACUGCUUCCAAAAGUGACAAGAACAAUGGGAAAAUGAUAAUGAAAGAUAUGACUCUGACAAAGAAGACCUGAAUUCCCAGGAGAAUUUGCGUUCAUUAAGUAAGACAAAUACGUUUUCAUCAAAGGUAAAACCAAAAGGAGAGGGCCCUCUGCUUACUGAUGGUAGAUGAUACCUGGAUCAUUGACUCAGCUCUCUGGGGAAUAGGUAUCUAUUAUAUUGUCCUCACCACAGCGAUUUCUCAAGUGUGUGUCCUUCUGUUGUUGAAGAUGACCAAAAUAGGGUCUUGAAGGAGUGGGACUUUUGCACCUAUAAGAAAACCUUUUCAGUGCUACUCUACUCUGGAAAUUAAAUUCAUUUUGACAUUUACGUUGUUUUGUAUUACUAAGAGAGGUGCAAAAUAAUUUCAAUGAAGUGUGAAGCACCUUUAGGUUCACUGAGGUGGACUUUUUCUGUGAUAGCAAUAGCAUGGUGCAGUGUGCCACACUUUGGAAAAAUAGAGGACUGUGAAAUACUUGACAAAACCUCUACCUUCAACACACUCUUUUUCUGUGUAGUUACUGCCAGGGACAGAACACAAGAAAGGGAAACUCAUUUGCAUCUUGUGGGUGCCUUGCAUUUCUUUUUCUUACACAGUCAACUGGAGCUUUGGGACUUCUGCAGUGGUGCUGCCCUCACACUUACUUCUUGUAAGUUCUGCCCAUCAGUACCAAGAGCAAGUACUGCUUCUGCCACUUCCCCAGUUCAACUGCUUCUUUCACUGGCAGGAAUGUUGCUUUAAAAACAGCAUUAUUGCUUGGUUAUUUUCUCCCCCAAAAAUUUGCCCACUUCUAUGUUAUAUAUAAGGUGACCACAUCAAGGUCACCGUCACAUCUCUUGACAUUUUUAGUUUUUGUAUUUUCUUACUAAAUGUUAAGAUUUGGCCUAUCUAGGAUGAGUUUGGAUACAUUUUAAAGUUUGCAUUUUCUACAGAAUAUCUUACAACAGUCCUUAAAAGUAUGUUGGGAAAAUUAGCUAAUUUAAUGAGGAUUUUCUUUUCUUAAUAUUUUAUGAAGCAGUUUGAUAUUAUAGCUACUUGAUAUCCUUUUGGAUAUGCUGUCCCAUAGGAAUUGUCUUGACUCUAGACUUGUAAGAGGUUACACUGAAAGAUAGGUAAGGAAAUUUAUCCCCAACACUCAUUUUAGAGGUGAAGAAACAGGACAAGAAAGCUGAAGCAAUUUGUCCAUGAUCAUACAACCCUGUAGCCACAGAGAAAAGACUACAAGACAGGCUUCUCUCUCCUAGUAUUAGAAUUUUCACUUUGUCCUUAUAAAUCCUUGGUGUAUGUAAUAUGGAAAAGAUAAUGUAGGGUCUUCAGAAAAAAAUCAUCUAAGCUUUACUUUAAUUUGGCAUUGAUUUGAUUCAAUGAGCAAUUUCCAAAUGACUUGGCAUCUUGAUAAUUUACUAUAUUUCUCCUUGUUACUUCUUGAUGUUGUUAACUAAAUCACAUUUCAUUCAUUCAGAGACAUUUUAGAGUUAUAAGUGAGUCUUCAAUAAAUUGCAGCCAUCUAGAAUAGUUCAUCUCUUUGCAAAAUGUAAUCAGGUUGAUUCUGAAGUACCACUUGAACAAUGUCUCAGAUUUAAAUUGUAUUAUGGCUUCUCAUUUAGACAUGUCACUUUUUGUAAGUAAAUGAGUUGUACUUGAAUGACUUUUUCAACAUGUCUUGUAAGAAUGGGGAGGGCUUGUAUUGAUGUGAUAAAUACUGCCUCAUUUCUUUUUCCCCAUCCCAAUUUAUUAACAAUCUCCACAUAACAAUUUUAAUUAUCUUCAAGUUAAUUUUUAGGGAUUUGUUUUAUCAGAUGAUGUGAUAAACUAGUUUUCAGGAUUAGGUCAACUCUGUAACACUCAUUUAGUUUUUUAGUCAGAUUCAUGAUGCAUUAAUAGGAAUCCUCCUACACUUGAUCUUAGCCAAAAGGCCAAGAAGUGGUUAACAGGAAUCCUAAGGGAC
rnacentral:lncRNA from 1 species